UGAGAAGGGCUGUCCCUAGUACGAGAGGACCGGGACGGACGAACCUCUGGUGUGCCAGUUGUUCCGCCAGGAGCACGGCUGGUUGGCUACGUUCGGCAGGGAUAACCGCUGAAAGCAUCUAAGCGGGACGCUCGCUUCAAGAUUAGGUCUCCCAUCCUUUUAUGGAGUAAGGCCCCCGGCUAGACCACCGGGUUGAUAGGCCGGAGGUGGAAGUGCGGUAACGCAUGGAGCUGACCGGUACUAAUAGGCCGAGGACUUGCCACA
rnacentral:rRNA from 1 species